GUUGCAGGUACUGACUGAGCUAGAAAAGUGAAAGUGAAGGAAGAAGAAGAAGAUAAUAAAUUAAAGUAGUUUAAUGAGCGACAAAGAAAAAUGGGGAGAGAAAGUAUCAGAGAAGGUAAUUUCCUUAUACAAUUCUCUUCCUAAGAAAGGAAAACCUCAGGGACGUGAAGUUACCGUUUUAGCCUCGUUUCUCAUUUCAUCUCCUUCUCAAGAAUUAGAAGUUGUUUCCUUAGGAACCGGUACAAAAUGCAUCGGCCGCUCACUGUUAAGCUCGCGAGGCGAUAUUGUUAACGAUUCACACGCGGAGAUUAUUGCUCGACGAGCUUUACUGAGGUUUUUCUAUUCGGAGAUUCAACGCCUCACUGACAUUGUAAAUAAUAAGCUUGGAGAUAGUUUUGGAACACCACAGCUUCACAUUGAUGACUGCAGAAACUGCAUUUUUGAUUUGGAUCAAGAUUGUUCUUUAAGUAGAGCGAAAUUCAAGCUGAGAGCUGGUUGGCAACUGCAUCUAUACAUAUCUCAAUUGCCAUGUGGGGAUGCUUCUGUUGAUUCUACGUUAUUAUCUAUGAGAAACACCUUCGCUAGAGAAGGGAAUUUGACUUUGCCUCAGGGAGAGCUUGAUAUUAAUACUGUGGAUGAGCUGUUUUUAAAGGCCUCGGAGAAAUACUACGGUUUACAAGUCUGUGGAAUGGUUCAGAGGAAGCCUGGUCGUGGUGAUACGACAUUGUCGGUUAGCUGCUCUGACAAGAUCGCUCGUUGGAAUGUACUUGGAGUUCAAGGAGCUCUGCUUUCCUACCUUCUUCAACCUGUUUAUCUUUCCUCGAUCACUGUUGGGCGAUCACCUACUAGUUUCGAGGACUUUUCUGUGAAGCACCACUUACAAAAAUCUUUAUAUGAUCGGAUUUUACCAAUAUCAAGUAAAUUGCUUGCUCCCUUUCAAGUGAACAAGCCAUUUCUUUGUGUAGCUUCUACACCACCAAAGGAAUUUCAGCAUGCUGAUACUGCUUUAGCCACUUUAACAUGCGGGUAUUCCAUAUGCUGGAACAAAUCUGGUUUGCAUGAAGUUGUUCUUGGUACCACUGGGAGAAAACAAGGCACCUCUGCUAAAGGGGCCCUUUCUCCAGCUACUCAGUCAUCUUUGAGCAAGUAUGGAAGCGAUUAUUGGCCAUGUUCUUGACAUUGGAGGGCUUGCAACAUGCAGGCGCAAACAAGGAGAUUUCUUAUCGAGAACUCAAGAAUAAUGCGGAGGCAUACUACUUAACUUCAAAAACUUUUAAGGAAACUCCGCCUUUUGACAAUUGGCCAUUGAAACCAUUAGACUUGGAAGCCUUUUCCGUUUUGAGAUAGCAAGGUAUGUGAUUUUCAAUCUUGGUGCUAUCAAUAUAACUUCCCCUUUGUACUGGUUGGCAAUGGAGAAAUAAUUGCAUUAAGUUGUUAAUUGGGUAUCCUAUAAUUGGAAUUAUAUGUAUCUAUAAAUGCUGCUCAUGUGUUCCGUAA